GCUUUCCUGUAGCUCAUUUGGUAGAGUAUUGCGUUAACAUUGCAAAGGUCGGGGGUUCAAAUCCCUGGGAAAGCA